rnacentral:rRNA from 1 species
CCUACGGGGGGCAGCAGUGAGGAAUAUUGGUCAAUGGACGAGAGUCUGAACCAGCCAAGUAGCGUGAAGGAUGACUGCCCCAUGGGUUGUAAACUUCUUUUAUAUGGGAAUAAAAUGUUCCACGUGUGGGAUUUUGUAUGUACCAUAUGAAUAAGGAUCGGCUAACUCCGUGCCAGCAGCCGCGGUAAUACGGAGGAUCCGAGCGUUAUCCGGAUUUAUUGGGUUUAAAGGGAGCGUAGGUGGAUUGUUAAGUCAGUUGUGAAAGUUUGCGGCUCAACCGUAAAAUUGCAGUUGAAACUGGCAGUCUUGAGUACAGUAGAGGUGUGCGGAAUUCGUGGUGUAGCGGUGAAAUGCUUAGAUAUCACGAAGAACUCCGAUUGCGAAGGCAGUUCACUGGACUGCAACUGACACUGAGGCUCGAAAGUGUGGGUAUCAAACAGGAUUAGAUACCCGAGUAGUC